GCGGCAAAGUUUUUCGUCAUAUUUCUCUUUCUUUUGCUUAAAAAAUGAGAGAAACGUUGGAGAGAUCAAAUCCGAAUUCAAAAGAACAAGAAAUUCUCAAAAAAAUGUAAGCGAUUAUUCGAUUUUUCUAGUAUUCAUGCGCAACAGUUUAUCAGUUAAUCUUCUGAGAAUGGGUAGGUGUCACUUUCUGCACCAACUACAGUUUCACUCCUUCCGAUCUCGUCUCAAGCUGGGAAGUUCAUUACCUCAAUAGACAGUUAAAUGAACCAGUUGUAGAGAGUACCGAAAUUGAUGGCUUUCUGUUGCAGCUGCAAAAUGAAAAGAAAGAGGACAGUGUAAAAGAAAGGGAAGAAGGCAGGUAAAUAAUGAUGAUGAUACAAAAGGACGAUACUCCUGUAACUCCAAUCAAUCACCAUAAUGAUCUUUUAUCUCCUGAUCCAACAUCAUUAACUGAUCCAACAUCAUUAAUGGAUGAGAAUAUUUUAUCUUCUGCGAAAGCAUCAAAAUCAAAACUAAUAACACCUUUUUCAAAGCAAACAGAUAAGUUUUCAGUGAAAUUUAACAUCAACACUCUCCUAGGAAGAAAUUCUAGUUGCAAAGUAGAGAUUCUGGAAGUUUUUCGGGAACCAUCCGAUCAAGAUAUUAUAUUAUGUCUGGAAUAGAGGCACGUAAAUGAUGAUAUGGACGAUACUCCUGAACUCCAAUCAAUCACCAUGAUCUUUUAUCUCCUUCAAUUGAUCCAACAUCUUUAAUGUAUGAGAAUGUUUUAUCUUCUGGGAAAGCAUCAAAAUCAAAACUAAUAACACCCUUUUCAGAGCCAACAGAUAGGUUUUCAGUGAAAUUUAGCAUCAAACACUCUCCCUAGUGUAGAGAAUGGGAAACAGGAACCUGAUCAUGAGUAUAUUGAGAAUGGUGAAGAUGAUGUUGUCAGAAGAGUUCCACAACGUGAAAGGUGUUCAUUGGUAUCAGGAGUCAAACCGGCUUGUAAAUUCAUGUAUGAUAGAACGGAGGAUAGGUCACUUGUUGAAUUUUUUGGCAAUCUAUCACGAGAAUGGGCACUAGAGUGCAUGAAAUACUUAUUGCUGGUAUAUCUCAGAGGCAACCUACAUAUUAUUGUGCCGGUUGUCAAAGAAUGUUGUGAACAGUUGGGCAUCGAUGCUUGCUUAAGGAUUUUUGAACAAUUCAGGUCAUAUGAAGGGCUAUAUUUUUUCCUGCGAUCAUAUUUGAGCUCCAGAAAAUGGAUGCCUUCUGUAAAAGGGACAAGCUUGAAUGCAGUGAGGAACUAGUUGAUCUUGUAAAGAUUGUAGAUAAUGAUCUUGUUUUAAAAAUAUACAUCAAAGCCUGAGCUACUCCAAAAUUGUUGUUGCUUUUACUGGAGAAGGCAAUUUGACAAGAUUCUAAUAUAGUCUAACUUGGUUGGACACCUGACUAUCUCUUUCUUUUAUAAAAAGUUUUUCGGACAAAUCCUCAGGGUGCUGUUAAUUUUGCAUUAAUGAUGUUGCAAAUGGAGGGAGGUUGCCCAGUUGAUUACAACACCAUAACUGAUUUAUUUCUUCAGGUUUUAUUUGAUGAUAAGCAAUGGGAUUUUCUAGUGGACCAAUUCAAACAGGCGUUCUGCAAGUUAUAUUCAGGCAUAUCGUGAUCGGAUCUAUGUUGGUGAUGUUCAAGAGGACAAUAAAGGUUGGAAAGUUUCUAGGAGAGUUGCCAAGCAAAGAGGAAACAAAGGAAGCAAGUAGGAAUGUGUGUUGUAGCCAACCAUGAAGCAUGUUUCCCACAUUUUCCAUGUGCAACACAUCCAGCCGUGUGUCUUCUUUACUUUGAAGCACAUUCAACAUAAGUUUCACGUGGAACAUAAGCCAAUAUAAAGCUUCUUCCAUUUUGAGCACAUUUUCAAUGAUGAAAACGUGGUACACACGGCCAGUAGCUUUGAACAUGUGAUUUAGCUCGAGCACAUUGUAAAUAUGUAGCUUUCCUUGCACACUUCCAAGCUCAUCUUCUCCUAUAAAAGAGAGCUUCAUCAUUUGUAAACUCAACUUGAAUUGUAUGAAGAAAUGCUGCUGAAUUGUCCAGCCAAUUCUCACUUUCGAGUUCACUGACUUGUGCCUUCUUAGCACACUUAUCCUCUAGCUUCCUUCCCCUUUGGAAGGCCGUCUGAGUUAGAGAACCUGCCUACACACUUCCAAAAACCGCAUCAGACAAUUCAUCAAACACCUUCCGUGCACCUCCAACUGCAUCUGCGUUUUCCAAUUCCGCUGCCACCUCUGGUCCGAGAAGCUGCUCAUUCUUGAAGAGUGAAGCUGCUUCUAUCAUUUGGUAUCAGAGCCAACACGUCCACGGUUGUCUUCAAGAGAUAAGCUUCUCUACUUUGCAAAUUUCCAAUUCUGUCAUGUGCUGUUCUGCUGUCACGCUAUUUUUGAUUUUUUUUUUCAAUUCUGUUUGGCUUAAUUUUGCAAAUAGACAGUGUGCUUAUUCUUGGAUCCAGUGUGCUGCUGCAGUACAUGAUUCAAUUCACUGAGUAAAAUCUUCAGUUAAUUGUGUUCUUUUCUUUCUUCUCUCCAGUCUUUCCACUACUCCAAGUAUAGGCGGGACGAAAACCAACUUUAUAUAUUUGCCCAUGAUUGUGUUCCAAGGUGGCUUAUUGCAUCGUACCACAUAGAUUUUGACACCAUGGCAGGCGCAGACAGGUUUGGAAAUAUCUAUUUUGUGCAGCUGCCACAGGAUGUUUCAGAUGAGAUAGAAGAAGAUCCUACUGGUGGUAGGAUCAAGUGGGAACAAGGAAAGCUGAAUGGAGCUCCCAAUAAGGUGGAAGAAAUUGUACAGUUUCAUGUUGGUGAUGUGGUCACAUGCUUGCAAAAGGCUUCUCUCAUACCAGGUGGUGGAGAGUGCAUUGUAUUUGGAACAGUUAUGGGAAGUGUUGGUGCUCUACAUGCCUUUACUUCACGAGAUGAUGUUGACUUCUUUUCUCAUUUGGAGAUGCAUAUGAGACAGGAUCACCCACCUUUGUGCGGAAGAGACCACAUGCCAUAUAGAUCUGCAUAUUUUCCCGUUAAGGAUGUUAUUGAUGGGGAUCUAUGCAAGCAAUCCCCAACAUUGCCAAUGGAUUUGCAGAGAAAAAUUGGACAGAACCCCUGGAGAGAUAAUGAAGAAACUCGAGGAAGUGAGAAAUAAGAUUAUUUAAGAAAUGGUUGCAUGGAAGGUCAUUUGCCCGCCGUAGCUAGGUCAAAUACUAACAAAGUGAAGUAAGCUCGUGUAUCUCAUUAAUAGGGGAACGGUGAUUUCUUGUCCUAUUUAAUUAGUCCUAGUUAACUGUUAUCACGCUUUGUGGAUGUGAUAACGUGCCACAUCGCUUCCUAUCUACAACUCACUCAGCAACCCCUCUCUUUUACUCAAAUCAGAUGUUUGAUUUAACUGGAUUUGAAA